GUGAUUUUUGGGUGAUUGGUUACAUGAUGCUGGGUUUGGCAUUGAAGAUGAGGCUCUCCUUGCUUUAAGAAAAGACAAAAAUCUCAAAGGAAAAGUGGGAAUAUCAUGUAAUGAGACGUAAGGACCAGGGAAAAGAACAAAAGAACCAGGACAAAGAAAGGAGGGAAGACCUGGAGAAUAGGCAUUAGAAAGGAGGGCAAGAAAGACAUGGAAGCCCCCUCAGUUGGAUGGGGGCUCAGCCGGUGCUUAUGCUUCCGAGAAAGCCCACAAGGAUGUUGCGAAUCUGGGGGAGCCACAUGCUCUUCACACCAAAGCUGAGACAGGCAGCUCUUGCUGGUGCCCUUACAACACACCGCGUGUAACAGAGCCAGUCAUCCCGGGGGCCGCUCUUCCAUCCUGCUAUUUGCUAACACCUUUAUUGCCUCCAGUUAGUUACUCACACCGCUCUCAUUCCCAUCUGUCAAGGAGAGCUCCCUUCCAACAUUCUGUCCUUCUUUGCUUCUACAGAAGAGAUCCUCCCGGUGUGAUUGCAAACCUCAGAGCUGAUACAGAGCUUCGAGAUGAGUAUCUGUACCUUAAGGCAACAGAAGAAGAACAGAGAGUCAAGCACAACCCAGAGUUCCAGUGCCAAAUGAGUCAGUAUGUGAAUUAUCUGCAGUGAAGACUCACCUCAAGACAAGCCCAAAGACCCCCCUGCAGGAAAGUAAACAGGAACCAUUAAAGACGAACCUAGUGCUUCUCAGGGUUACUUCACUGACUCAAUCCAACUCUCAAGUGUGCUGGCCUUUUUCCUUUUAAGGACAGAGAAGUCCUGUCUGUGAAGACCAUGGUGUCAUGCACAGGGAAGCCGCAGCCAGGAAGAGGAAAAUCAUCGCCUGACCAGGUGCAAUAUUGCCCCCAUCAGGAGCAUCUCUGUAAUGGAAAGUUGCAAUGACUUGUCCAGCUGUUAAAAAAGCAGGAGUUAUCUGUUUUGUAUAUAAAAAAAGGACUUACUGUGUAUAGCACAGGAACUCUGUUCCAUACUCUGGAAUGACCUAAUGGGAAAAGAAUCUAAAAAAGAAUGGAUAUACGUAUAACUAAUUCCCUUUGCUGUACAGCAGAUGCUGACGCAACAGUGUAAAUCAAUUCUACUCCCAUAAAAAAUUUUUCAUAGGUUAUAUUAGCUAAUAGUAUAAUCUCUAAAUAAGGAAAUGGCUGCUAUAAACUAAGAAUAAAUGAGCUUUAUUUUCAGGACA
rnacentral:lncRNA from 1 species